GAUGAACGCUAGCGGGAGGCCUAACACAUGCAAGCCGAGCGGUAUUGUUUCUUCGGAAAUGAGAGAGCGGCGUACGGGUGCGGAACACGUGUGCAACCUGCCUUUAUCUGGGGGAUAGCCUUUCGAAAGGAAGAUUAAUACUCCAUAACAUAUUGAACGGCAUCGUUUAAUAUUGAAAGCUCCGGCGGAUAGAGAUGGGCACGCGCAAGAUUAGCUAGUUGGUGAGGUAACGGCUCACCAAGGCGAUGAUCUUUAGGGGGCCUGAGAGGGUGAUCCCCCACACUGGUACUGAGACACGGACCAGACUCCUACGGGAGGCAGCAGUGAGGAAUAUUGGUCAAUGGGUGCAAGCCUGAACCAGCCAUCCCGCGUGAAGGACGACUGCCCUAUGGGUUGUAAACUUCUUUUGUAUAGGGAUAAACCUACCCUCGUGAGGGUAGCUGAAGGUACUAUACGAAUAAGCACCGGCUAACUCCGUG
rnacentral:rRNA from 1 species